rnacentral:rRNA from 1 species
UACGUAGGGGGCGAGCGUUGUCCGGAUUCAUUGGGCGUAAAGAGCUCGUAGGCGGCUUGGCAAGUCGGAUGUGAAAACUCCAGGCUCAACCUGGAGCCGCCAUUCGAUACUGCUAUGGCUAGAGUCCGGUAGGGGAGUGUGGAAUUCCCGGUGUAGCGGUGAAAUGCGCAGAUAUCGGGAGGAACACCGGUGGCGAAGGCGGGUCUCUGGGCCGAUACUGACGCUGAGGAGCGAAAGCGUGGGGAGCGAACAGG